UAAUACGAAGGGGGCUAGCGUUGUUCGGAAUUACUGGGCGUAAAGCGUAUGCAGGCGGAUUGUUAAGUCAGGGGUGAAAUCCUGAGGCUCAACCUCAGAACUGCCUUUGAUACUGGCAAUCUUGAGUCCGGGAGAGGUUAGUGGAACUGCGAGUGUAGAGGUGAAAUUCGUAGAUAUUCGCAAGAACACCAGUGGCGAAGGCGGCUAACUGGCCCGGUACUGACGCUGAGAUACGAAAGCGUGGGGAGCAAACAGGAUUAGAUACCCUGGUAGUCCACGCCGUAAACGAUGGAUGCUAGCCGUUGGCAAGUUUACUUGUCGGUGGCGCAGCUAACGCAAUAAGCAUCCCGCCUGGGGAGUACGAUCGCAAGAUUA
rnacentral:rRNA from 1 species